CGGCGCUCAGACGGCCGCCGGCUCCUGACCUAAGAACUUGCAGACGCCUCUACCCGCACGUCUGGGAUGGACAUGUGCGCGAAAGUGCGCAGACUCCGGGUCGGGGCAGACUGCGCGUGCGCAGGUCUCUAGUCCUUAUUCCCACUGAGGAAAUGGUGCGAGCCCCAGCCCUCCCCACAGUCCUGGAGCAGCACCGUCCAGCGGAGCGUGCGACCACAGAUGUGCUCUGUCCGUGCCACCCAGUACAGCAGCUGCUCACCACACAUGGACGGUGCAACUAAGGACUUAAUCUUUACAUUGAAAUAAUUUCAACUUAAGUAGCCACAUGGGCUAAUGGCCAUCAUUCUGGACAGCACAGCCCCAGAACUUCCUCUGCACGUGGCUCGAGUCUGCUGAGAUGGCUGGCUGAUCAUUUAGACAAAAACCAUAGAAGAGAGUUGUUCACCACAAAGAACCCCCCACACAACUCUUAAAACUUAAGGGUUUGGAACCCUGCCCACGGUACCCAUGAAGCCAGCCCUCUGUGGCCAGAGCAGGGCCCACAUACCUGGUUCACGUCCUCCACUGUGGUGAGAAGAGGCGGUGAGGGCAGCGUGCUGGUCUCCUGCUCACCACUGCUGUGCUUCCUGAAAGAACCCAGAACUCAGGCCGUGGCUGCCUGCCACCCCCGGCUUCCCUCCAGGGCACACCUAGCUGCUUGGUAUGGGUGUCUCUAGGCACUGGUUCUGGGUGGGGAGGCCUUGGGCCCACUGUGUGCAGGGGGCGAAGGUGGGUCACCAUGGUGUGGUACCCUUCUGGAGGCCGUGACAGGGCUGGGCUGGGGGUGGGGGGCGGCGGGCAUGAGGACUGGCACUGCCGCUUCAGCUGCUGAGUCCGCCAGCUCCAGCCUUUUGUUAAGUUAGUCAACAGAUACAGACUGACUGUUUACCAUGCACUGGAGACAGAUGACUU